rnacentral:rRNA from 1 species
UGCGUAACGCGUAUAGAAUCUACCUUGUACUAGGGGAUAGCCUUUGGAAACGAAGAUUAAUACCCUAUAGUAAGUAUUUAUGGCAUCAUUUAUACUUUAAAGGUUACGGUACAAGAUGACUAUGCGUCCUAUUAGUUUGUUGGUGAGGUAACGGCUCACCAAGACUUCGAUAGGUAGGGGCCCUGAGAGGGGGAUCCCCCACACUGGUACUGAGACACGGACCAGACUCC